rnacentral:rRNA from 1 species
AGAGUUUGAUCAUGGCUCAGAAUGAACGCUGGCGGCACGCUUAACACAUGCAAGUCGAACGAGAUCUUCGGAUCUAGUGGCAGACGGGUGAGUAACGCGUGGGAACCUGCCCAGUAGUAGAGAAUAACUUGGGGAAACUUAAGCUAAUACUUUAUACGUCCUUCGGGAGAAAGCUUUAUGCGCUAUUGGAUGGGCCCGCGUUAGAUUAGUUUGUUGGUGAGGUAACGGCUCACCAAGGCGACGAUCUAUAGCUGGUCUGAGAGGAUGAUCAGCCACACUGGGACUGAGACACGGCCCAGACUCCUACGGGAGGCAGCAGUGGGGAAUAUUGGACAAUGGGGGCAACCCUGAUCCAGCGAUGCCGCGUGAGUGAUGAAGGCCCUAGGGUUGUAAAACUCUUUCGUCAGGGAAGAUAAUGACGGUACCUGAAGAAGAAGAUCCGGCUAACUCCGUGCCAGCAGCCGCGGUAAUACGGAGGGGUCUAGCGUUAUUCGGAAUUACUGGGCGUAAAGCGAGCGUAGGCGGAUUUGUAAGUUGGAGGUGAAAUCCCAGAGCUUAACUCUGGAACUGCCUUCAAAACUACAUUUCUUGAGUUUGGUAGAGGAGAGUGGAAUUCCUAGUGUAGAGGUGAAAUUCGUAGAUAUUAGGAGGAACACCAGUGGCGAAGGCGACUCUCUGGGCCAAUACUGACGCUGAGGUUCGAAAGCAUGGGUAGCGAACAGGAUUAGAUACCCUGGUAGUCCAUGCAGUAAACGAUGAGUGCU